CCUACGGGAGGCAGCAGUGGGGAAUUUUGGACAAUGGACGAAAGUCUGAUCCAGCAAUGCCGCGUGCAGGACGAAGGCCUUCGGGUUGUAAACUGCUUUUGUACGGAACGAAACGGCCUGCUUUAAUACAGUGGGCUAAUGACGGUACCGUAAGAAUAAGCACCGGCUAACUACGUGCCAGCAGCCGCGGUAAUACGUAGGGUGCGAGCGUUAAUCGGAAUUACUGGGCGUAAAGCGUGCGCAGGCGGUUAUAUAAGUCAGAUGUGAAAUCCCCGGGCUCAACCUGGGACCUGCAUUUGAGACUGUAUAGCUAGAGUACGGUAGAGGGGGAUGGAAUUCCGCGUGUAGCAGUGAAAUGCGUAGAUAUGCGGAGGAACACCGAUGGCGAAGGCAAUCCCCUGGACCUGUACUGACGCUCAUGCACGAAAGCGUGGGGAGCAAACAGGAUUAGAUACCCUGGUAGUCCACGACCUAACCGACUAGUCACUAGUUGGUUGGGUUCGUUCUACUGUACUCAGUAACGAACGACUAACGCGUGAGUAGUACCGCCGUGGGAGGUACGGUCCGGCGAGGUUAGUUAAACGUUAAAGGUUAAAGUUAGUACGGCGUUGAGACGUUGCCGACGGACGACGACGAGGGAGGAGG
rnacentral:rRNA from 1 species